UCAAACUCCCAAGUGAGUCAGUAGCAGAAGAAAGGUUAUGACUCACUCUCGGCAUACAAGCUUGUAUUUUUCCCUCUGAAACUGGAAACAUAGCAGAGAGCUGUGGGAGGAGCAAUAAUUUAGCCAACCACACCUUGCUUCCAAAAUAUUUCAUUGGAUAAUAAAUGCCUAUGAAGAGCUGAUACCACCCAGGGUUGGUAUUUUGGUUGGUUUUUUACCUUAUCUGUGAAACCCACAUGGUAAACUGCCAUGACGUUCAGUUUAUCUUCUUUAAAAAGAUGAUGGGAUGAGUUCACCCUGACGAGGUUCAGUUGUGGAGUUUAGAGCAACUAAGGGAAUAUACAGGAUCUUCAGCAGACAGUACAACUUCUGCAGUCGGAGGUAGUUGUAAACAAAAUCAGGUUAAGAAAAGGUAAGAGAGUUCAAUACCCAAAAAGCACAAUUCACAUUGUGUGAAAGAAUACAUUAAAAUUUUUAUGCCUUAUGCAACCCGUUACAUACCAAAGGCUGUGAUUGUCAAAGAUGGGUGCAGAUGUGGUCCCUGUUAAUGAGGUACCACAGAUAGGCAAAGCUCAUUGGCAUACGCACUUCCUGACAGUAUGACAUCCUUCCAACAAACACGCAGCAAAUCUGAAAUAUUUGUUGUAUUACUUUCCUGUAAAAUACAUAUCAUUCUAAAAUAUUAUUGACAAUUCUCAGGAAGGGGGCAGUUCGUAUGCUAAAACUAGCAGCCUUUUAAGUAGGCUACAAAAUCGAGAUAUACUGUAUCUUACUGUAGCAACCGAGUUACUGGCUGUUGCACAUAUGGAUUCCAAUACAGUCUUCCAUUGCUAAACCAUGUAAUUCAGGUCAUGUAAUUAAUGGCAAUUCAGGAUCUGCAAUUAAUGGCAGAUCUUGGGAUCGAUGUGAAGAGGAAUUCAAAAGCCUUGUAAAUAGAAAAUAAAUACAGUUUGUAGGCAAGCUAAAAUUUCAUGAAAGAAUAAAAAAAACCCACCAAAAAUCCCCUGACCAAAACAAACAAAAAACCAAACAAAACCCCCCGAACAAACCAAACAAGCAAACAAAAAACCCAGAAAGCCGCAAAAAAACGCAUACACCCCCAUCACUAUGAAAAAGCCCUCAAAGUUUCUUUCUCUAUUAAAAAAAGAUUCUUUAUAACUCACUUCUAUCAAAAGUGCACAAAAUGUAGAGUAUAGUCCUAUGUCUUCAGGACAAAAUUGUUUAUCACCAUUUCCUAGACCAAGCUCCUACACAAGCCAUACAAAAGAUAAUACCUGCAGUCAAAAUAGACUUGUCACUGAACAAAAGUGCUUUAGAAAGAUGCAAGUUAUUUAUUUAGGGUAAACCCACAAUAUUCCAAAAUUAACAACUGCAGAGGUUGUUUAUUCACAUUAUUAAAAAUUUGAGCUAUAUUUCAAGCUUGAAUUUUCCCAGGCAAACUUUUAGUGUUUGUGGGUUUUUGGAUUUCAAAUAGUUUGUUUUGGAGCAAGUUGUGGAUAGCAGAGACACCCAUCUCAGAAAUGCUGUAGGAAAACUGUGCAAAACUCUUCAAAUAAAAAAUGUGGUCAAUAGCUAUUACUUAAGGAUCCAUGAAGGUCUAGGUACUCAAAUUUUCCUCCAACCUAACACCACCCUUUCCUUCCCCAAGGCUACUCUUUAACUGAUGCUGAUUUCCUUCUGUCAGGAGGAACAGAGGAAACCGAAGACAUUUUAUUUCCCUCUUAACACCCUGAAAUAGUUCUGCAUAAUGGACAAUAAUAUUGAAUCUUUUUGUGAUUGAUUGCUUGUACCUCAGUACCUAUGAGUUCAUGGUUUUUUUCUCCUAUGCCUGAGAACACGGUUUUCAACUUUCUAAUAUGUAAUUUUACCAUGUGUAUUGUUCUAAACUUCACCAGUCUUUUCAGUAUUAGGAUCAUGGCAAGAUCUCUGUCCUUAAUAUUUUAUGGUGUAGCAAUGCUGAAAUGGAAGGACAGUUAUAGUUAAAAGGGCUAAAUAGAAAACUUGGAGUUAAAACAAAAUUAUAUUGUAAAAUAACAAUUACAAAUGAAGCUUAUAUAUUUUUAAUAUAAUUUUAAAUAUAGAUUAAAAGCAGAAAUACCCACAAUAUAUGCAUAAAAGGACAGUAAAAGAGAUUUUUAAGAUCACUAUUAAGCUUGGUGUGGAGUACUUUUGGUUCCUGGUGUUCACAACCUAGCUUUUAUAUUAUCCUUCUGCAAAACAUCCUGUAAAAAGUCAUGUAAAUUGUCAGGUGCCAGGGCAAAGCUGGUUGCAGCUGUGUUGUAGAUUAGGAUUUGUACUUCAUAGAGCAUAAAGUGCUGUGAGAUUGAUGGUGCCUUUGACACCAGCUGGUCCUAACAGGGCAACCAACCCCUUUUAGGCCAAGGAAAUCCACCUCCAAAGAGCACUAAUCGAAACAAAUAAACCGUUGAAUGUCUAAAAUGAAACUAAAGACAUGCAGGUUUAACUCCUUCUGUAACCAGAACUGAAAUAAAUAUGUACCUUAUCUUUUAGAGGAGAAACUUCUUCCAGUAAUGCUGUACCUGGGAGCAAGAGGCUUUUCUAUGAUAAAGAAUCCUUAUCCAGGUUUGAUGUUUUUCUGCCAUGGGAUGGACUCCACGGUGGGGAGAAAAGGAAUAUGAGGCUUAAUGCUUUCUGCCAGCUCGAGGUUAACGAGGCUCCUUAUGCUUUUGCACCCUGAGAAGUAUCUAGAUCUGGCAUUAUUCUACAUUAGUAUUUCAUGCACAUUCCUUACAAUUGAUGGGGAUUUUCCCCAGGAAGAAAAAGAAGAUUUAAGGACCAAUUGCCUUUUGCCCAGUUCCCUUCCUCAUUCUAUAGGGUUGCUGAAAUAACUGGAACACACAGGUGAAAAUUACCAAUAGCAUUUCAAGGACUGCAUAGUUGUUAUACUGACUAUUAGUUUUAGAAUAAUUUCAGGUGUAUUAUUUUAAUAAAUAAUACUGAAAGUUACUUUAUUGUUCUGAUAUCACAGCAGACAUAUUAGCUCCAAAAUGUGUUCAGUUUUACUUUCUGGUAAUUAAUGGCAAUUCUAAACCACCUACUAUGCAAGAGCCAAAUAUUUACACAAGACUCUCAUAUUAACUCACCUAAAAUACCAAUAAAAUCAGAAAACACAAACUAGAUUUAAAGUGACUCCUAUAUAGCUGGUAGUUUUGGAUCCCAUCUAGGAGAUGCAGUCCUGCAGAGUGAAUGAUGGCACAAAGAUACUGGAUACUGCUCACUAGUAUGUGUAAUAUCUGCCACAUAUCAUUGAGAGAGAAAGAAUGUAUUAUCAUAUGUAUGUUUGUAUGUGGACAUAAAAUCACUGGAAUUUUAGUGUUUUGCCUUUAAAACAAGUCAUUAUAUUUUAGUAUACUCUGGGAGCCUAUUACAGUGUAAAAUUCCUUUAUUUCCCUUUUACUUUUUGUGUGGUUUGUUUCAAAGUGGUUUUUAUUUUAAAGUAUUAAUGAAAAUGCUGUAUAAGUAAUAAUGUUAGAGUGGAAUUUUAUUUCAUAUUGUUUUAUAUUUAUAAGAGCUACAAACAGGCUCCUGUAAAUUUAUAAAAUCAGUUACUUUGAGGUCAGAGCUGUGGGUUUUUUUUUCUUUUAUUAUUGUAAAUAAAAUAAAAGAGU